AGUGAACGCUGGCGGUAGGCCUAACACAUGCAAGUCGAACGGCAGCACAGUAAGAGCUUGCUCUUACGGGUGGCGAGUGGCGGACGGGUGAGGAAUACAUCGGAAUCUACUUUUUCGUGGGGGAUAACGUAGGGAAACUUACGCUAAUACCGCAUACGACCUACGGGUGAAAGCAGGGGAUCUUCGGACCUUGCGCGAUUGAAUGAGCCGAUGUCGGAUUAGCUAGUUGGCGGGGUAAAGGCCCACCAAGGCGACGAUCCGUAGCUGGUCUGAGAGGAUGAUCAGCCACACUGGAACUGAGACCCGGUCCAGGCUCCUACGGGAGGCAGCAGUGGGGAAUAUUGGACAAUGGGCGCGAGCCUGAUCCAGCCAUACCGCGUGGGUGAAGAAGGCCUUCGGGUUGUAAAGCCCUUUUGUUGGGAAAGAAAAGCAGCAGGUUAAUACCCCGCUGUUCUGACGGUACCCAAAGAAUAAGCACCGGCUAACUUCGUG
rnacentral:rRNA from 1 species